rnacentral:rRNA from 1 species
GAUGAACGCUGGCGGCGUGCCUAAUACAUGCAAGUCGAGCGAACGGACGAGAAGCUUGCUUCUCUGAUAUUAGCGGCGGACGGGUGAGUAACACGUGGAUAACCUACCUAUAAGACUGGGAUAACUUCGGGAAACCGGAGCUAAUACCGGAUGAUAUUUUGAACCGCAUGGUUCAAAAGUGAAAGACGGUCUUGCUGUCACUUAUAGAUGGAUCCGCGCUGCAUUAGCUAGUUGGUAAGGUAACGGCUUACCAAGGCAACGAUGCAUAGCCGACCUGAGAGGGUGAUCGGCCACACUGGAACUGAGGCACGGUCCAGACUCCUACGGGAGGCAGCAGUAGGGAAUCUUCCGCAAUGGGCGAAAGCCUGACGGAGCAACGCCGCGUGAGUGAUGAAGGUCUUCGGAUCGUAAAACUCUGUUAUUAGGGAAGAACAUAUGUGUAAGUAACUGUGCACAUCUUGACGGUACCUAAUCAGAAAGCCACGGCUAACUACGUG